GAUUCCAAUUAAAACAACAAAAUAACCGCGGAAACAGAAUUGACCUUGCUACAAACAUAAAAAAACACACAUCAAAGCUGCGGUUCUCUCUCUCUUUUUAUUUACAGGUCUGUUUUUAUCUCCAUUUCUCUACCGGUUCUCAAUGUUUUCUUUCACUAUGACUGCUGAUUUUAGGUGUGGUUGCCGGCGUCAGCUUGUGCGAUAACUGGAGCUCACGGUGUCAAGGGGGUUGUGCUGUUGCCGCAGUCGUCCGUGGCUGGUUUUGUUGAAGCUGAAGAGGUCACUGAUUGCUGUACAUGGUGGAUGCUUCUAUUGUAUCUCUUGGUGGAAAAUGAGCACUGCUCACAGUGGUUAGUUCCGGUGGUGACUGUCAUCGUGGGGAAAGGGAGUUGUUGCUGGGUCAGUGGGUGAUAGUGGAGAAAAAUAAAAGGGAAAGAGAUGAGAAGGAUUGUCCACCCGAAAUUGAUAGAAAGGGGAUAUGCUGUUGAUUGUGGUAGAGUGAGGUUGAAGAUGAAGCUUGAUUUUUUUUCAAAGAGAGAUGGUACUGGUUUUGGGAAUGAAGGCCAUGGUAGGACGACUGGCAGAUUGAUGGAAUCAAUGGGAUUUUUUGUUUACUUUGUAUGUAUCGUUGGUGGUUGCGGAGGGAGCUGUUGUGCUUGGGAUCUGGAAAAAGAAAAAAGAAAAAAAAAGAAAUGGAAGGAGAAUGGGGUUGAUGUAUGAUGCUGGAAAAGGAAAGGAGGCUGAUAGCAUAAAAAAAUAGGAGGUGCAAUUUUUAUUUUUCUUGUCAUGGAUUUGUUGUUUUUUUUAGGAAGGGCGAGACUAGGUUUUUUUAGGUGGGAGAGAGAGUGUUCUGUUGCUUUCUAUGCUCUAAUUAAUUAAUUCUUUGUUCUUCUUUUUAUUUAAUGCU
rnacentral:lncRNA from 1 species